rnacentral:rRNA from 1 species
CUCCUGGAAACGGGUGGUAAUGCCGGAUGCUCCGCCCCCUCGCAUGGGGGGUCGGGAAGGCUUUUGCGGAAUGGGAUGGGGUCGCGUCCUAUCAGCUUGUUGGCGGGGCGACGGCCCACCAAGGCUUCGACGGGUAGCCGGCCUGAGAGGGCGACCGGCCACAUUGGGACUGAGAUACGGCCCAGACUCCUACGGGAGGCAGCAGUGGGGAAUAUUGCACAAUGGGGGGAACCCUGAUGCAGCGACGCCGCGUGCGGGGUGGAGGCCUUCGGGUCGUGAACCGCUUUUGAUUGGGAGCAAGCGUGAGUGAGUGUACCUUUCGAAUAAGCACCGGCUAACUACGUGCCAGCAGCCGCGGUAAUACGUAGGGUGCAAGCGUUGUCCGGAAUCAUUGGGCGUAAAGGGCUCGUAGGCGGUUCGUCGCGUCCGGUGUGAAAGCCCAUCGCUUAACGGUGGAUCUGCGCCGGGUACGGGCGGGCUUGAGUGCGGCAGGGGAGGCUGGAAUUCCCGGUGUAACGGUGGAAUGUGUAGAUAUCGGGAAGAACACC